rnacentral:rRNA from 1 species
AUGGCUGCAUCAAGGCCACCAAGCACCCCUAUGUCAAAGAUUGAGCGUGCACCGACCCUUACCCCUGGUGGUACCUCCAAGUCCAAGGAGGAGAAAAUAUUUGUCACGGUUAGGGUGCGACCAUUGAGCAAGAAGGAGCUGGCCAUGAAGGAUCAGGUUGUGUGGGAAUGUGCUGAUAGCCAGACAAUUCUAUACAAGGGUCCCCCACAGGACAGAGCUGCACCCACCUCUUACACUUUUGAUAAGGUGUUUGGGCAGAGUUGUCAGACGGAUCUGGUUUAUGAAGAUGGAGCUAAGGAUGUUGCCAUGUCUGCAUUGACAGGCAUUAAUGCCACUAUUUUUGCCUAUGGUCAGACUAGCAGUGGUAAGACAUUUACCAUGAGAGGUGUGACAGAGAGUGCUGUUAGUGAUUUAUACAAGCACAUACAAAAUACCCCCGAGAGGGAAUUUACUAUCAAGAUAUCUGCUAUGGAAAUCUACAAUGAGGAUGUGAAGGAUCUUUUAAAACCUGGCUCUGGUUCCCUUCGGCUGUUAGAUGAUCCUGAGAAGGGACCCAUUGUGGAUAAGUUGGAUGAACAAGUUGCCAAGGACAAAGAACAUCUGAGGCAUCUAAUCGGCAUUUGUGAAGAACAAAGGCAAGUUGGGGAGACUGCACUAAAUGACGCUAGCUCACGCUCCCACCAAAUCAUUAAGCUGACAGUGGAGAGUAAGCUCCGUGAGGUAUCAGGCUGUGUCAAAUCUUUUGUUGCCAGUCUAAAUUUUGUUGACCUUGCUGGAAGCGAACGGGCUGCACAAACACAAGCAAUUGGUGCAAGAUUGAAAGAAGGAUCCCACAUAAAUCGCAGUUUGUUGACUUUGACUAAAGUCAUCCGGAAGCUAAGCUCCGAGAAAAGAAGUGGACACAUACCAUAUCGGGAUUCAAAGCUAACACGUAUUUUGCAACUUUCUUUGGGUGGGAAUGCAAGAACAGCCAUCAUCUGUACCAUGAGCCCAGCCCUGACAUACGUAGAACAAUCUAGAAAUACUUUAUUCUUUGCAACCUGUGCCAAGGAGGUCACAAAUACUGCAAAAGUUAAUAUGGUUAUAUCUGACAAGCAACUUGUGAAGCAGCUUCAAAUGGAAGUUGCUAGGCUGCAAGCAGGACAAAGAACUGCCGACCAUGCCUCCCCGUCUGAGAUCCUCAUAAUGGAGAAGGACAGCAAAAUUAGACAGAUGGAAAUAGAAAUGGAAGAACUCAGGAAAGAACGAGAUAAUGCACGUUUGCAACUCGAAGAAUUACAAAAGAAGAUGGGUGACAAGCAAGGGUGGAAUUCCUUCGAGUCGCCGCAAACGGCCCGAAAGCGCCUCACAUUUUCUGGGUCACUACAGCCUAGUAGAAUGGUCAAGAUCAGGAAUUCAAUCAGGCAAUCAUCCACUGCUCCAUUUAUGCUAAAGCAUGAAAUUCGCAAGCUCGAGCAGCUACAGCAACAGCUUGAGGUUGAAGCGAACCGAGCUAUUGAAGUAUUGCACAAGGAGGUUGAGUGCCACAAACAUGGCAACCAAGAUGCAGCGGAAACUAUUGCAAAACUUCAGGCAGAAAUCAGGGAGAUGCAGACUGUUAGAUCUCAGAACAGAGAUGUUGAGAUGAUUACAGAUGAAGGAAAUGGGUCUGAUCUGAAAGAUGAAAUUACCAGGCUGCAUAUGCAAGGUAGUGACAUUGCUAAACUUGAGGCGAAACUAGAAAAUGUACAGAGGUCUAUUGACAAAUUGGUCAUGUCACUUCCAAAUGCUGGCACGCAGUGUAAUGAGUCGUCCACAAAGUCCAACGCGUCAAAAAAGAAGAGGAGGAUUCUUCUUCCACUGGGCGUGAGCAACCUGAACAGACCAAAUCUAGCACGAGCGCCUUGCUCUCCUGACUCUUCGACCAGAACUUUGGAGCCAGAAGUUGAGAACAGAGCUCCAGACAGUCACACUGCGUCUCAUGAGGAUUCAGGAAAAGCUACUCACGCCAAGAGUGAAGACACUGGAGAUAUAUCGUCGCGUGAGGAAGCGCCGCGCAACAGGGGAUCCGGCUCAGUGAACAUGAAAAAGAUGCAGAGGAUGUUCCAAAAUGCUGCUGAAGAAAAUGUAAGGAACAUCAGGGAUUAUGUGACAGAGCUGAAGGAGCGGGUGGCGAAACUUCAGUACCAAAAGCAGCUGCUUGUCUGCCAGGUCUUGGAGUUGGAAUCUAAUGAAGGCAAACCAAAUGACAUGGAAGAAGAUCCACAAGAGAAUGCCGGAUGUCUACAAGACGGCCCUGAGUCAUGGGAGAGAUUAUUUAAGGAGCAAAUGCAGCACAUUAUCCAGCUUUGGGAUAUCUGUUAUGUGUCGAUCAUACAUAGGACCCAGUUCUACCGGCUAUUCAGGGGGGACACGGCAGACCAGAUAUACAUCGAAGUUGAAGUCCGAAGACUGUUGUGGCUGCAGCAGCAUUUGGCUGAAGUCGGUGAUGCAAGCCCUGCUGCACCUGGUGACGAGCUUGCAGUUUCUCGAGCCUCAAGCAUGAAGGCGCUGAGGAACGAGCGGGAGUUUCUGGCGAGGCGGAUGGGGUCCAAGAUGACGGAGGAGGAGCGGGAGCGGCUGUUCAUCAAGUGGCGGGUGCCUCUGGAGGCGAAGCAGCGGAAGCUGCAGCUGGCGAGCAAGCUGUGGACGGACCCGGACGACGAGGCGCACGUCGAGGAGAGCGCCGACAUCGUGGCCCGGCUGGUGGGCUUCUGCGAGGGCGGCAACGUCAGCAAGGAGAUGUUCGAGCUCAACUUCGCGUCGCCGGCGGCCAAGAAGCCGUGGCUCACGGCGGGCUGGCACCCCAUUUCCAACAUGAUCAGGGAGAGGGCUCAGCUCUGGUGA